UACGUAGGGCGCAAGCGUUGUCCGGAAUUAUUGGGCGUAAAGAGCUCGUAGGCGGCCAGUUGCGUCCGCUGUGAAAUCCCGGGGCUUAACCCCGGGCGUGCGUGGAUACGGGCUGGCUAGAGGCAGGCAGGGGAGAACGGAAUUCCCGGUGUAGCGGUGAAAUGCGCAGAUAUCAGGAGGAACACCACAGCGAAGGCAGGCACUGGCGGCGAUACUGACGCUGGAGGAGCGAAAGCGUGGGGAGCGAACAGGAUUAGAACCUACCGAGU
rnacentral:rRNA from 1 species